AAUAGAUACCCCGGUAGUCCACGCCGUAAACGAUGGAUGCUAGCUGUUAUGCGUAUCGACCCGUGUAGUAGCGAAGCUAACGCGUUAAGCAUCCCGCCUGGGGAGUACGAACGCAAGUUUAAAACUCAAAGGAAUUGACGGGGACCCGGCACAAGCGGUGGAGCGUGUUCUUUAAUUCGAGGCUAAGCGAAGAACCUUACCAGGGCUUGACAUCCUUGGAAUUUCUCCGAAAGGAGAGAGUACUUUAUUGGACCAAGUGACAGGUGCUGCAUGGCCGUCGUCAGCUCGUGUCGUGAGAUGUUUGGUUAAGUCCAUUAACGAGCGCAACCCUUAUGAAUAGUUGUAUUUUUUCUAUUCAGACUGCCCCGGUUAACGGGGAGGAAGGGGGGGAUGAUGUCAGGUCAGUAUUGCCCUUACGGCCCUGGGCUAGAAACGCGCUACAAUGGCCGGUACAAUGCGCUGCCAACCCGCGAGGGGGAGCAAAUCGCAUCAAAGCCGGUCCCAGUUCGGAUAAGAGGCUGAAACUCGCCUCUUUGAAGCCGGAAUCGCUAGUAAUC
rnacentral:rRNA from 1 species